GACGAACGCUGGCGGCGUGCUUAACACAUGCAAGUCGAGCGGUAAGGCCCUUUCGGGGGUACACGAGCGGCGAACGGGUGAGUAACACGUGGGUGACCUGCCCUUAGCUCUGGGAUAAGCCUGGGAAACUGGGUCUAAUACCGGAUAUGACUCCAUGACGCAUGUUGUGGGGUGGAAAGCCUUGUGCGGCUAGGGAUGGGCCCGCGGCCUAUCAGCUUGUUGGUGGGGUGAUGGCCUACCAAGGCGACGACGGGUAGCCGGCCUGGGAGGGCGACCGGCCACACUGGGACUGAGACACGGCCCAGACUCCUACGGGAGGCAGCAGUGGGGAAUCUUGCGCAAUGGGCGAAAGCCUGACGCAGCGACGCCGCGUGAGGGAUGACGGCCUCGGUUGUAAC
rnacentral:rRNA from 1 species